AGGAUACCUUAGAACAUUAAGUACCACAAAAUAAGAGUCAAUAUUGAAGGCACGGAAGAAAGAAAGUUUAAGAGCAACCACAGAUUUGUAUUGACAAUCAAUAACUUAAAAGAACAACAAACACUCAUUUAUAUAUAUAUAGGGCAUAAACUUAUUGACAGAAACUUACUUCUUUUCUCCUAGGUGCAAUCCCCAUCUUUAUCUCAUCUCCUGCUUGAGAUUUUUCUUCUCGAAAUAACAUCAGAUUGUGAAACUUAGACUGAGAUCUAUCCAAUAAUUAGAGAAAGUAAUGAAAAUGAAAAGGAUAUAACAAUGUUCUUACUCAUAUGAACCAAAUCGCAGGGAUGAGAUCCUCGAUCCAUGAGAGUAGAAGUCAUAAUGAUCUACAGAAUUUCCAGGGUAGAGUAUGCGAUUGUCCCAAUCCAUUCUGAGAAGAGGCGGAGAGAGAGGAGGAACCGGAUUAAUUUGAGAAGAGGCGGAGAAAGAGAGGAUUAGUUUUAGAUGAAAGGCUCUCUCUCUCUAUUCUAGGUUAACUGAUAAACAAAUUUUGAUGCCCUCAUUUGGUGAUGUUAUAGUUCUUGAACCUGUUUCGUUAGCAUCUCUUCCUCCUGAACACGUGAUCACUGACGAGGAAUUUGAAAAGGAAAUUGAUCUCAUGAUGAUGGAUUCUGGAUCUAUGGAUGUCGAACCCUCCUCGGCUCAUGACCUAGAAAAAUAAGGUGUUCUCGCUCGGAUUUUGGGCUGGUUCUAGAUGCAGUUAGUGCGGAGGCUACUGCUUUAUUUUUGGCCAUCUCUUGGGUGAAGGAGCUAAACCUGUCCAAAGUCCUCUUUGUAUGCGACUGUCUUCAAGUGGUGGGUUUUGUUAAUGGAGUCAGUUCGUCGGUCGGAAGGAUGUGUAGCGAUCUUCUUGAAGAUUGUCGGAACUUUACUGCUAGUCGUAAUGCUUAUAAAGUUGUGUACAUUAUAAGAUACCUGACCGGCUUGCACGUCGGGAUAGGAAGUUCAGUAUUAAAGACUCUUAGGUUCCUUUUCCUGCUUUCUUAGACUCUUCGAUUAGUAAUGAACUCACUAUGGAUGUCUGUAAUUUCCUUUUUAGUUAAAUGAAAUGGUUGUUUUUCAGAAAAAAAAAAAUAACCAUUACGUCA